UACGGAGGGGGCGAGCGUUAUUCGGAAUUAUUGGGCGUAAAGGGCGCGUAGGCGGCUUGACAAGUCAAAGGUGAAAGCCCCCGGCUCAACUGGGGAGGGUCAUUCGAUACUGAUCGACUCGAAGGCAGGAGAGGGUAGUGGAAUUCCCGGUGUAGUGGCGAAAUGCGUAGAUAUCGGGAGGAACACCAGUGGCGAAGGCGACUACCUGGCCUGUUCUUGACGCUGAGGCGCGAAAGCUAGGGGAGCAAACGGG
rnacentral:rRNA from 1 species